GGGAUGGUAGCUCAGCCGGGAGAGCGUCCGCCUCACACGCGGGAGGUCACGGGUUCGAGCCCCGUCCACCCCA
rfam:Firmicutes bacterium CAG:791 genomic scaffold, scf177